rnacentral:rRNA from 1 species
UACGUAGGUGGCAAGCGUUGUCCGGAUUUACUGGGCGUUAAGAGCGCGCAGGCGGUUGGAUAAGUCGAAUGUGAAAGCCCCCGGCUCAACUGGGGAGGGUCAUUCGAUACUGUCCGACUCGAAGGCAGGAGAGGGAAGCGGAAUUCCCGGUGUAGUGGUGAAAUGCGUAGAUAUCGGGAGGAACACCAGUGGCGAAGGCGGCUUUCUGGCCUGUUCUUGACGCUGAGGCGCGAAAGCCAGGGGAGCAAACGGG